CAGCGCCACGAGUGGUAACCGCGAUUAUUGGGCCUAAAGCGUCCGUAGCAGGUUUAGCAAAUCUUUUGUGAAAUUGUGCGGCUUAACCGUACAACGUGCAAGAGACACUACUGAACGCGAGAUCGGGAGGAGUCAGAAGUAUUCCAGGGGGAGCGGUAAAAUGUUAUAAUCCCUGGAGGACUACCUAUGGCGAAGGCAUCUGACCAGAACGAAUCUGACUGUGAGGGACGAAAGCCAGGGGAGCGAACCGGAUUAGAUACCCGAGUAGUCC
rnacentral:rRNA from 1 species